GAGGAAGGAGAAGUCGUAACAAGGUUUCCGUAGGUGAACCUGCGGAAGGAUCAUUUUCGAAUCCUGCACAGCAGAACGACCCGUGAACAUGUUACUAUAACACCCGGGUUGCUGGGGCUUCGGCCCCUCUGCAGCCCGGCUGCCGUGGGGGAGCGGUGCGAGGAGCGGCAUUGUGCCCUCCAAGUGCCCUCCCCCGGGCUAAACAACCAACCCCGGCGCAGGACGCGCCAAGGAAUAAUGUAACGAGAAGCGCGUGCUCUUGUCGGCCCCAGAAAUGGAGCAGCCAUCAAGUUGCACCGUGCUAUAUCGAUAUUUAAAAACGACUCUCGGCAACGGAUAUCUCGGCUCUCGCAUCGAUGAAGAACGCAGCGAAAUGCGAUACUUGGUGUGAAUUGCAGAAUCCCGCGAACCAUCGAGUCUUUGAACGCAAGUUGCGCCCGAAGCCUUCCGGCUGAGGGCACGUCUGCCUGGGUGUCACGCAACCGUCGCUCUAAACCCCUAUGCCCUUCGGCAUGGGAUGCGGGGCGGAUUAUGGCUUCCCGUGGACUCUGCGUUCACGGUUGGCCCAAAACUCGAGUCCCGGCUACGAACGCCACGGCAAUCGGUGGUUGCAAGACCUUCGGAAACAGUCGUGUGCGCCCGUUGCCUCGAAACUCGCAGGCCCGUUGCGUCCACAGUGCACGCUCCCAUCGCGACCCCAGGUCAGGCGGGACCACCCGCUGAGUUUAAGCAUAU
rnacentral:misc_RNA from 1 species